rnacentral:lncRNA from 1 species
UUGUGCAACAUGUCUUCCUUUUGUUGCAUUGGCAUUUGCAAUAACAACAAUUGUAUUGAACCUUCUCUUUUUCCUUCACGUUCAUUGGCGAUUUUCGAUAUUACCACACAGAUGUAUUAGUACUACUUACCAGCUAGUAUAAUAUUACUCAAAAGCAGCCUGUUUUACUCAAAGAUUUCUCUUGAUCAUAAGAGUACGCAUCUUUACCUUGUAUUUGUACAAGAGACCGUUUCUAUGCCUUGAGCUCGUGACCUUAUGGUCACAUGUCAGUAACUUUAUCAAUUACGUUAAGCUUCUCUUUGCGUAGUUUAUACGUCUAUUGUCAUAUAACAGGAACUUUACCAGCUA